GACGAACGCUGGCGGCGUGCUUAACACAUGCAAGUCGAACGGAAAGGCCCUGCUUUUGUGGGGUGCUCGAGUGGCGAACGGGUGAGUAACACGUGAGUAACCUGCCCUUGACUUUGGGAUAACUUCAGGAAACUGGGGCUAAUACCGGAUAGGAGCUCCUGCUGCAUGGUGGGGGUUGGAAAGUUUCGGCGGUUGGGGAUGGACUCGCGGCUUAUCAGCUUGUUGGUGGGGUAGUGGCUUACCAAGGCUUUGACGGGUAGCCGGCCUGAGAGGGUGACCGGCCACAUUGGGACUGGGGUACGGCCCAGACUCCUACGGGAGGCAGCAGUGGGGAAUAUUGCGCAAUGGGCGGAAGCCUGAUGCAGCAACGCCGCGUGCGGGAUGACGGCCUUCGGGUUGUAAACCGCUUUCGCCUGUGACGAAGCGUGAGUGACGGUAAUGGGUAAAGAAACACCGGCGAACUACGU
rnacentral:rRNA from 1 species